CCUACGGGAGGCAGCAGUGGGGAAUAUUGCGCAAUGGGCGAAAGCCUGACGCAGCGACGCCGCGUGAGGGAUGAAGGUCUUCGGAUCGUAAACCUCUGUCAGCAGGGAAGAACGGUCACUGUGCUAAUCAGCAGUGAAUUGACGGUACCUGCAAAGGAAGCACCGGCUAACUCCGUGCCAGCAGCCGCGGUAAUACGGAGGGUGCGAGCGUUAAUCGGAAUUACUGGGCGUAAAGCGCUCGUAGGCGGUAUGUCAAGUCAAGGGUGAAAGCCCCGCGCUCAACGUGGGAACUGCCUUUGAUACUGGCAAACUGGAGUGUGUGAGAGGAUAGUGGAAUUCCAGGUGUAGGGGUGAAAUCCGUAGAUAUCAGGAGGAACAUCGGUGGCGAAGGCGACUAUCUGGCACAUAACUGACGCUGAGGAGCGAAAGCGUGGGUAGCAAACAGGAUUAGAUACCCCGGUAGUC
rnacentral:rRNA from 1 species